CCCGUAUUUAUUUCUAAUCUUCCCAACAAAGUCAUGUAGCUAGCAGUUUGUAACUCCGAUGGCAUGUCCAGAGAUUUAACCUCUACGUACACCCAAUAAUCCAAUAUCAAACGUCUAUUCCACUCUUGUUUUCUCCUCCUCAAGCAUUAGACAAUUCCUCAUAUCCGAGAACGGAGAACCUCCAGUCCUCCACCACGAAACCAAUUAGUGAAGCAAAACAUAUUUCAAAAUUAUCCCUCCUGCGGCCUUUUUUUUGUUUUAUCUCAUCAAGGAAGGAUAAUGGAAGCCAACUAGCAGUCGGUUUUGGUGACAUGACAUUUUUCUCCAACAAAGUAUCGUUAGAGGUUUCAAGUUCAACUCCUUCCUCCUCCAUUGAUCAGAAGACAAAGGAAAAAGGAAAACUAUCUCAGCUUGUGCAUAGGCAUCAUAUAUAGCUAUCAACCCUACAAAACCAUCAAUUAAGUUCAGAAAGCAAAUGAACAUGCCGCUGGCAGUUGAUGUCUCGAAUGAGAACCAGUAUGUGAGUAGAAAUUCACCUGAUGACUUUGCACUGCACUUAACAUUCUUCUAAUCUACCCUUUGGGAGACUUUGCAAUGGUAUCAACCUCUGGAGGAAACUCCAGUCCUAUUUCGCCAUUUCGAUAGCGAAACAUAUCUUUCAAUCGGGUAAACUGUUGCUCAGGUUAGGCGAAUGUUUAAUCAUAAAAUCUAUUGGGGUGAAUUUUUUCUUUUUGAGGGGAUCCUUAAUUGGUGAAGUGAAGUUAUGUUACUAUUAUGAUUCCUGUCCAAUUUAAUAUCUUAAUUAGAGUAAAUUGGUGAACGAAUUUAGAUUUGGUGUGAACCUUAAUGCUGGGCUUUUAGUCCAUUAGGUCUCGGCCCAAUCCAAAUUUUCUAGAAACCCAACCCAGAAGACGAAGCUCCUAAAAUCUCCAAGAUCUAAAACCCUCUUUCGCAAGUCGCAAAGCAGCUGAAAAUCCUUGAAUCGUGAAAAGCAAAAGCAAACAAAUUGCAGAGGAAAUGUUUGGUCGACGCAAAUUCCUCUCCUUUCCUUUAGUUAUCGGAGCAGUCAUAAUUGGAGUUGCUUCAGGCAAGGCAAUCUUUGGACCCCCACUUGAGGAGUACUGGACAAAGAAGCAGCAGGAAGAAGCAGCUGCAAAGGAGACUGAUGCAAGCUCAAAGUAACCAAUAUGGUAUCGCAUUCCCUCAUGAUUGAUUGUCUCACAGUGGUGCAAGCCAGGAGAUGAAGAUGGUAUAUUAAUUAGUUCAUUCAUUUACACUUCAAGAAUAUGAUGAAGGCAACAGCAAUCUGCAACUGUUUCUAGAAGCUGUUAUAGUUGAGGGAAGAAAGUCCUCUGCUUGCUUAAUUGUAUUUCUUCUCAGGUUGCUUAUUGUAAAAUUUCAAUGACGCUGUUUUUCAGCCUGCUGAUAUAAGGAGGAAAACUGUUCUCGUAUAAAAUUCAUGCAGACUAACAAGCUACCGUAUGAAAGAAGCUUCCAAGUUUUUAUCUAUAAAUUCAUGCUGUCUAUACUUUUCGAUC